rnacentral:rRNA from 1 species
GACGAACGCUGGCGGCGUGCUUAACACAUGCAAGUCGAACGGUGAAGCGCCUUCCUUUUUGGUGGGUGUGGAUGAGUGGCGAACGGGUGAGUAACACGUGAGUAACCUGCCCCCUUCUUCUGGAUAACCGCAUGAAAGUGUGGCUAAUACGGGAUAUUCUGGGUCUGUCGCAUGAUGGGUCUGGGAAAGAUAUUGUUUCGGUGGGGGAUGGGCUCGCGGCCUAUCAGCUUGUUGGUGGGGUGAUGGCCUACCAAGGCGGUGACGGGUAGCCGGCCUGAGAGGGUGGACGGUAACACGGGGACUGAGCCACGGCCCAGACUCCUACGGGAGGCAGCAGUGGGGAAUAUUGCACAAUGGGCGCAAGCCUGAUGCAGCGACGCCGCGUGAGGGAUGGAGGCCUUCGGGUUGUGAACCUCUUUCGCCAGUGAAGCAGGCCUGCCUCGUUUGUGGGUGGGUGGACGGUAGCUGGAUAAGAAGCGCCGGCUAACUACG